GCAUGUAUAGCUCAGUAGCAGAGCGCAUGCUUAGCAUGCAUGAGGUCCUGGCUUUAAACCCCAGUACUUCCA
rnacentral:tRNA from 1 species